AGAGUUUGAUUCUGGCUCAGAACGAACGCUGGCAGCGUGGAUUAGGCAUGCAAGUCGAACGGGAAGCUAUGGCUUCAAUCUUCGGAGAGAAGCCAUGGUGGAUAGCGGCGGAAGGGUGAGUAACGCGUGGGCAAUCUGCCUCCGAGUUGGGGAUAACCCUCCGAAAGGAGGGCUAAUACCGAAUACGGUCGCGUCGCGCAUGCGGCGAGGACCAAAGGUGGGGAUUCUUCGGAACCUGCCGCUGGGAGAGGAGCCCGCGUACCAUCAGCUUGUUGGUAGGGUAACGGCCUACCAAGGCUUACGGUUAGCUGGUCUGAGAGGAUGGUCAGCCACACUGGGACCGAGACACUGCCCAGACUCCUACGGGAGGCUGCAGUCGAGGAUCAUUGUCAAUGCGCGAAAGCGUGAACAUGCGACGCUGCGUGGAGGAUGACGGCCCUAGGGUUGUAAACUCCUGUCAUUCGGAAAAAACGGCCUCGCUCCCAAUACGGGCGGGGUGUGAUGGUACCGGAAGAGGAAGCCACGGCUAACUCUGUGCCAGCAGCCGCGGUAAGACAGAGGUGGCGAGCGUUGUUCGGAUUUACUGGGCGUAAAGCGUGCGUAGGCGGUUCUGUGUGUCGGAUGUGAAAGCCCACGGCCCAACCGUGGAAUUGCAUCCGAAACUGCAGAACUAGAGUGCAAGAGGGGAGAGCGGAAUUCUAGGUGUAGCGGUGAAAUGCGUUGAUAUCUAGAAGAACACCGGUGGCGAAGGCGGCUCUCUGGAAUGUUACUGACGCUGAGGCACGAAAGCUGGGGGAGCAAACAGGAUUAGAUACCCUGGUAGUCCCAGCCGUAAACGGUGUGCACUUGGUGUGGGGGGAAUUGACCCCCUCCGUGCCGGAGCUAACGCGUUAAGUGCACCGCCUGGGGAGUACGGCCGCAAGGUUAAAACUCAAAGAAAUUGACGGGGGCCCGCACAAGCGGAGGAGCAUGUGGCUUAAUUCGAUGCAACGCGAAGAACCUUACCAGGGUUUGACAUGCAGCUGCUUCCUCCCUGAAAGGGGAGGGUCCUUCGAGGGUGCUGCACAGGUGCUGCAUGGCUGUCGUCAGUUCGUGCUGUGAGGUGUUGGGUUAAGUCCCGCAACGAACGCAACCCCUGUGUCUAGUUGCCACCGCGGGUGAUGAGCCCGCGAGCACUCUAGACAGACUGCCCGUACAAGCGGGAGGAAGGUGGGGACGACGUCAAGUCAGUAUGGCCCUUACGCCCUGGGCUGCACACGUGCUACAAUGGCCGGUACAAUGGGACGCAAUGCCGCGAGGUGGAGCAAAUCCCCAAAGCCGGCCUCAGUUCGGAUUGGAGUCUGCAACUCGACUCCAUGAAGUUGGAUUCGCUAGUAACGGCGCAUCAGCUACGGCGCCGUGAAUACGUUCCCGGGCCUUGUACACACCGCCCGUCACAGCAUGAAAGCCGUCUGUACCCGAAGUCGCUGAGCUAACCCGCAAGGGAGGCAGGUGCCGAAGGUGUGGGUGGUGAUUGGGCUGAAGUCGUAACAAGGUA
rnacentral:rRNA from 1 species